AAUUCCCAAACCAGUCGUUGUACCGAAGGGAGAGAAAGAGAGAGGGAGAGAUAAUUAGGAAUCACCACAGCCGACCACCGCCACCGCCAACCACCACCGAACCCUCUUUAUCCAUCUCUGGUGACACCACUCCUGGCAAGAGAGAGGACCAGAUUAAUUCGAAAUCGUCGGGUUCACGACUCACGUCCACCAGUACUGCGUACCAAGGUCUCUCUCUCUCUCUCUCUCUCUCUCACGAUGCUCGCUCUCUAUCUCUCUCAUGCCGGAAUGGAGAUUUUUUGAAAAAAUUUAGGGUUUCAAACAGAUUAAGUAAAGGAUAUGUAUUGGGCUCAGGCUUGAAGAAAAUUAUAAAUUUGUAGCUAAUUCACUUCGUUAAUUGUGGUAGAAUGAUUCAUUUAGCUUUUAAUUUCAGCUGCCCUUAAAAUUGAGCUACUGAUGGUAUCUUACCUUUUUCUUGUUGAGCAUGACACCUCAUGAAUGUGGCAAUACCCUAUCAUAGUGUGAUGAAUUAUGACGAGACUCACAUGCCAUCAAAGUAUAACUAUGCUUAUGGGCUAAUGCAAGUCGUUAGACUUGGGGGGAAAAUGUCACACGUGAAAUUUUUGGCAACAUGUCAGGUUGUAUAUUUACAUUGCAAUAGAAAGGGCAAGGUUAAAUCUGAUGUGCAAAAGAAUUUAUAUCCAAUGCCAAGAAGCCUCAUAAAUUUUCGAAUUUUUUCUUAAUUUGUUAACUAGAAAUGAAAUGGUAUCAAAGAAUCGUGUAAGGCAUUAGACAAUACGUAAUUUGUUACGAUAUCAUUGCUGGAGUUUUGUUGACAUUUGCUUCAAAAGUUAGUGUUAAUUAGUUAAUUUUUGUACUUGUGUUGCUGUUUAUUUUUUUCUAAACCUAUCAGUUUCUAUAAUUGACAUACAAAGCAAGAUGCUUUAGAUGUUAUUUUAAUUAUUGACAUGCAUUAUCUGGUAAUUUGUUUCUUAUUUGUUUCCUUUGUUUCUGAACCACGAUGUCGCCGGAGUCUGUUCCGUUGGCAAUGCCUCCAAACAAUGAGUGUGGAGAACAAGAAGAAGUAUGGAGUAGAGACAUUGAACACGAAGAAGAGGUAUGGAGUGGUCCUUCAAGCAAAGACUAUGAUGAGAUGAAAACUACUAAGGAUGGAAAGGAGGAAAUAGAAAAUUGUGAAGAUAAAGUUGAAGAACCGAAGGAAGGAAAGAGAAACAAAACAAAAAACAUUGUCCAAUGAACAAGUCAAGGAGGUUGAGAAGAUUGCGGUUGGCCAUGGGUUCGGGACACAAGAGAGCGUUGUAAAUGGUCACUCAAACUAUAUGGGGCAUUCAAUGUAGCCAAACAUGAUGCCCCAUAACAUGCAAGCAAAUAUGACACAAGGCGGAACCAUCUUUCCAUUUUCUCCAACUCAUUGCCCAACCGGAACAAGCUUGAACCAAUUUAGGCCUUUUUUUCCAAGUUCACAAAGCUUUUUCAAUGGUCAAGUUUGGAGAGGUCAAUCAAUUAUUGCAGGCAGCCAAUCUUGGGGAGGACAAUCAAGUUUUAUGGAAGACCUAGGUCAAUAUUGGGGGGGACUACUUUUUCAAUGGUCAAGUUUGGAGAGGUCAAUCAAUUAUUGCAGGCAGCCAAUCUUGGGGAGGACAAUCAAGUUUUAUGGAAGACCAAGGUCAAUAUUGGGGGGGGACUACAACCAAAUCUACUACAAACUCAAGGGCAUGGAUGUGAAGGACAACCAAGUUUCAUUGAUAUGAUGAAUGCAACGAAUAAUGAUGGCGAGUAGUUCACUUGGUUGUUCUAUAGAAAUGAUGAAUAUGUAUUGUUAUUUUGAUUGGUCAUGACAUUGAUGAAUCUGUAAUAUUAUUAGCAUUACGACUGCUUUAUUGAACAUGUGAAUGUUGCAAGGUUGCAAUGUGUUGGAUUAUAUUGGAUUAAUGCAAUUUAUAUUAGUCAAA